AAAGAUCCAGGCACAUUCAGGAGUUACACUUUUCUCACUGAACAUGUAAACAAAUGCACUCUAUGGACUUGCAGCCUUUCAAGAGAAAGAAGUAAAGACUCAGUAUACUAAAUGCUUCAGAGCCAAGAUGAUCUUCUCAGUGACAGAAACAACAAAGCAAGACAAGACCCUGUGGAAGUCAACAGAAAGUUCGCUAAUAUGAAUAUUAAACUUUCAUACUAUGAGUCUACAGUGGCUGGAACCACAUUGUACUUAUCUUUCUGUUUAUGAUUCAGACAUUUUGGACAUUCGAUAUAUUUGGAGGGAAGAAAACAAUAGCAAAAUUUGAAAACUAAAAUAAAUUAAAUAAAAUGUUAUGUAAACAUCACUGCUGAACAU
rnacentral:lncRNA from 1 species